UACGGGGGGGGCAAGCGUUGUUCGGAAUUACUGGGCGUAAAGGGCUCGUAGGCGGCCAACUAAGUCGGACGUGAAAUCCCUCGGCUUAACCGGGGAACUGCGUCCGAUACUGGAUGGCUUGAGUUCGGGAGAGGGAUGCGGAAUUCCAGGUGAGCGGUGAAAUGCGUAGAUAUCUGGAGGAACACCGGUGGCGAAGGCGGCAUCCUGGACCGACACUGACGCUGAGGAGCGAAAGCCAGGGGAGCAAACGGG
rnacentral:rRNA from 1 species